GCUGGGUAUGGUAGUGCACACCUGUAAUCCCAGCAACUCAGGAAGCUGAGGCAGGAGGAUUGCAAGUUUGAGACUAGCCUUGUCAAUUUAGUGAGGCCCUAAGCAACUUAGGGACACCCUGUCUCCA
rnacentral:sRNA from 1 species